rnacentral:rRNA from 1 species
UGCAAGUCGAACGCACAGCGAAAGGUGCUUGCACCUUUCAAGUGAGUGGCGAACGGGUGAGUAACACGUGGACAACCUGCCUCAAGGCUGGGGAUAACAUUUGGAAACAGAUGCUAAUACCGAAUAAAACUUAGUGUCGCAUGACACAAAGUUAAAAGGCGCUUCGGCGUCACCUAGAGAUGGAUCCGCGGUGCAUUAGUUAGUUGGUGGGGUAAAGGCCUACCAAGACAAUGAUGCAUAGCCGAGUUGAGAGACUGAUCGGCCACAUUGGGACUGAGACACGGCCCAAACUCCUACGGGAGGCUGCAGUAGGGAAUCUUCCACAAUGGGCGAAAGCCUGAUGGAGCAACGCCGCGUGUGUGAUGAAGGCUUUCGGGUCGUAAAGCACUGUUGUAUGGGAAGAACAGCUAGAAUAGGAAAUGAUUUUAGUUUGACGGUACCAUACCAGAAAGGGACGGCUAAAUACGUGCCAGCAGCCGCGGUAAUACGUAUGUCCCGAGCGUUAUCCGGAUUUAUUGGGCGUAAAGCGAGCGCAGACGGUUUAUUAAGUCUGAUGUGAAAGCCCGGAGCUCAACUCCGGAAUGGCAUUGGAAACUGGUUAACUUGAGUGCAGUAGAGGUAAGUGGAACUCCAUGUGUAGCGGUGGAAUGCGUAGAUAUAUGGAAGAACACCAGUGGCGAAGGCGGCUUACUGGACUGCAACUGACGUUGAGGCUCGAAAGUGUGGGUAGCAAACAGGAUUAGAUACCCUGGUAGUCCACACCGUAAACGAUGAACACUAGGUGUUAGGAGGUUUCCGCCUCUUAGUGCCGAAGCUAACGCAUUAAGUGUUCCGCCUGGGGAGUACGACCGCAAGGUUGAAACUCAAAGGAAUUGACGGGGACCCGCACAAGCGGUGGAGCAUGUGGUUUUAAUUCGAAGCAACGCGAAGAACCUUACCAGGUCUUGACAUCCUUUUGAAGCUUUUUAGAGAUAGAAGUGUUCUCUUCGGAGACAAAGUGACAGGUGGUGCAUGGUCGUAAACAGCUCGUGUCGUGAGAUGUUGGGUUAAGUCCCGCAACGAGCGCAACCCUUAUUGUUAGUUGCCAGCAUUCAGAUGGGCACUCUAGCGAGACUGCCGGUGACAAACCGGAGGAAGGCGGGGACGACGUCAGAUCAUCAUGCCCCUUAUGACCUGGGCUACACACGUGCUACAAUGGCGUAUACAACGAGUUGCCAACCCGCGAGGGUGAGCUAAUCUCUUAAAGUACGUCUCAGUUCGGAUUGUAGUCUGCAACUCGACUACAUGAAGUCGGAAUCGCUAGUAAUCGCGGAUCAGCACGCCGCGGUGAAUACGUUCCCGGGUCUUGUACACACCGCCCGUCACACCAUGGGAGUUUGUAAUGCCCAAAGCCGGUGGCCUAACCUUUUAGGAAGGAGC